rnacentral:rRNA from 1 species
UACGGAGGGUGCAAGCGUUAUCCGGAUUCACUGGGUUUAAAGGGUGCGUAGGUGGCCAACUAAGUCAGACGUGAAAUCCCCAGGCUCAACUUGGGAACUGCGUCUGAUACUGGAUGGCUUGAAUUCGGGAGAGGGAUGCAGAAUUCCAGGUGUAGCGGUGAAAUGCGUAGAUAUCUGGAGGAAUACCGGUGGCGAAGGCGGCAUCCUGGACCGAUAUUGACACUGAUGAGCGAAAGCUAGGGGAGCAAACGGG